CUCCACGCCGUAAACGAUGAGUGCUAAGUGUUGGAGGGUUUCCACCCUUCAGUGCUGCAGCUAACGCAUUAAGCACUCCGCCUGGGGAGUACGGCCGCAAGGCUGAAACUCAAAGGAAUUGACGGGGGACCCGCACAAGCGGUGGAGCAUGUGGUUUAAUUCGAAGCAACGCGAAGAACCUUACCAGGUCUUGACAUCCUUUGACAAUCCUAGAGAUAGGACUUUUCCCUUCGGGGACAAAGUGACAGGUGGUGCAUGGUUGUCGU
rnacentral:rRNA from 1 species